rnacentral:misc_RNA from 1 species
UACGUAGGUGGCAAGCGUUGUCCGGAAUUAUUGGGCGUAAAGCGCGCGCAGGCGGUCCCUUAAGUCUGAUGUGAAAGCCCACGGCUCAACCGUGGAGGGUCAUUGGAAACUGGGAGACUUGAGUACAGAAGAGGAGAGUGGAAUUCCACGUGUAGCGGUGAAAUGCGUAGAUAUGUGGAGGAACACCAGUGGCGAAGGCUACUCUCUGGUCCGACACUGACGCUGAGGAGCGAAAGCGGGGGGAGCAAACUGG